GAUGAACGCUGUCUACAGGCUUAACACAUGCAAGUCGAGGGGAAACGACGGGGAAGCUUGCUUCCCCGGGCGUCGACCGGCGCACGGGUGAGUAACGCGUAUCCAACCUGCCUCUGACUGAGGGAUAACCCGUCGAAAGUCGGCCUAAUACCUCAUGGCAUCGUCUGCGGGCAUCCAACGACGAUUAAAGAUUUCAUCGGUCAGGGAUGGGGAUGCGUCUGAUUAGCUUGUUGGCGGGGUAACGGCCCACCAAGGCUACGAUCAGUAGGGGUUCUGAGAGGUAGGUCCCCCACAUUGGAGCUGAGACACGGUCCAAACUCCUACGGGAGGCAGCAGUGAGGAAUAUUAGGCAAUGGGCGGGAGCCUGAACCAGCCAAGUAGCGUGCAGGAUGACGGCGCUAUGGGUUGUAAACUGCUUUUAUGCGGGGAUAAAGUGAGGGACGUGUCCUUCAUUGCAGGUACCGCAUGAAUAAGGACCGGCUAAUUCCGUG
rnacentral:rRNA from 1 species